UACGUAGGCAGCGAGCGUUGUUCGGAGUUACUGGGCGUAAAGGGUGCGUAGGCGGUUGUUUAAGUUUGGUGUGAAAUCUCCCGGCUCAACCGGGAGGGUGCGCCGAAUACUGAAUGACUAGAGUGCGGGAGAGGAAAGUGGAAUUCCUGGUGUAGCGGUGAAAUGCGUAGAUAUCAGGAGGAACACCGGUGGUGUAGACAGCUUUCUGGACCGUAACUGACGCUGAUGCACGAAAGCUGGGGGAGCAAACAGG
rnacentral:rRNA from 1 species